rnacentral:rRNA from 1 species
GACAGAGGGUGCAAACGUUGUUCGGAAUUACUGGGCGUAAAGCGCGUGUAGGCGGCCCUGCAAGUCGGGUGUGAAAUCCCACGGCUCAACCGUGGAAGUGCACUCGAAACUGCAGGGCUAGAGUCCUGGAGAGGAAGGUGGAAUGCUUGGUGUAGAGGUGAAAUUCGUAGAUAUUAGGAAGAACACCAGUGGCGAAGGCGGCUCACUGGUCCGGUACUGACGCUGAGGUGCGAAAGCGUGGGGAGCAAACAGG